rnacentral:rRNA from 1 species
CAGUCGCCGCGGUAAUACGAAGGGGGCUAGCGUUGCUCGGAAUGACUGGGCGUAAAGGGCGCGUAGGCGGCGGCCAAAGUCAGGCGUGAAAUUCCCGGGCUCAACCUGGGGGCUGCGUUUGAUACUUGGUUGCUUGAGUGGGGAAGAGGGUCGUGGAAUUCCCAGUGUAGAGGUGAAAUUCGUAGAUAUUGGGAAGAACACCGGUGGCGAAGGCGGCGACCUGGUCCUUUACUGACGCUGAGGCGCGAAAGCGUGGGGAGCAAACAGGAUUAGAUACCCCUGUAGUCCCUGUCUCUUAUAC